CACUGUUGACAAGCCAAGACGCCAAGAGUGCAAGUAGCUCAAGCCAAGCAAGGUCGAAGCCAGGUUGACCACGUGACCGUAUGUCAACGGACCGUCAAGGCCUGUUUCAUCGGACCGCUCUGCCGAUCUCUCGGCGUGGAGGAAACGUAAACAAAGGAGCUGUGCGCACCUGCUUUAAACAGAAGGCAGAAAACAAUGAGCCAGCCAUCAUCGUGCAGGAAGCCGACGCCAAAUGGGCUGCUGCUGAAUCGGUCAGGCAUGCACCAGCUAGGACCAAGAAAAUGGAGCAGUGUGCCUCUUCUCAGGAGUGACUGAGGGGCUGCCACAAGGGGAGAAGGCA